rnacentral:lncRNA from 1 species
AUUUCAAAGUAAAAUGCCUAGAAAAGAAAAUAAUGUAAGAACUUUUUAACAAAAUGUCUUGAUAUGAAAAUAUUUGAAAGUAACAAUGUUGUAAAGGAAAAAAAAGGUACAAAGGUUUUAAUUGCGAUGAUUAUCAAAGGGAAAUGUGAUUUUAAUAAGAAAUUUGAAAGUAACAUUGUUGUUACAGAAAAGAACUAAAAAAAGUGCAAUGUCAUAAUUGACUUGAUUUUUAAAGAGAAAAUGCUUUUUUAUAAAAAAAACAGAAUCUAAAAUGCAUAGAUAUGAAAUGCUGAUGAAUGUAAACUAUCAUACAAAAACAAGAAUGAAGAAGACACAAGAAAAUAUAAAGAUGUUUAGUAUAAUUUAAGAAAAUACCUGGAAUAAGACCUGAAAGUAUUUUGGUAUCUCUCAGUAAACUUGGAGCAUAAGGAAGUUUCAGUAUCUCCACCAUAACUGACAAGAACUGAGAACACACAACAAAAUAUACAAAAUUUUAGUAUCACUCUCAAUUGUAUCUUACAAUGUCAAUAUUGAGUUUAUUCAAAUUGGAAAAGAGUGAAAACAGUAGAACAUACGCAUCACUAAAAAAGAAUGCUCGAAUCUCAACUUAAAUGUCAAAAGCCUUGGAGUUUCAUAUUCAAAUAAUUGGUGCCUGUUAUACAGAAAAAAAAUUUAACAAAAGAUUAACUUAACCCUAAAAGAGGUAGGUUUUCAAGAUCACAAACAUUGGUAUUGUUAAAUGCUGGCAACACAAAGUUCAGUAAGAAACCUUUAAUUUCAUUUUCAAAUAAUUGGUGUCUGAUUCUAGGGUUUUUUUCAGAUUUUUUGUUUAGUUUUCCAUAAAAAACAGGACACUUCAACACACAAAUACCCUAAUAUUAAAUGGUAAGAGUUAACUAUAAGCAUGUUGCCAUUAUGGGAAAAAGUACAUAAGUACAUUGCUAUUAUGCGUAAAAAAUGAAGUACAACACCUACCUUGAUAAAAAUAAAAUAAAAUAAAAUAAAAAGUAUAGCAUGUUGCUUCCUACAUCUUUCCCUAAAAUCAUCAGAUAACAUAAGAUCAAAAAUAUAAAACUGCUUGUAAUCAAAAGGAGGAGCAAAAUCUACCUCACAAUCAGUUUCAAUGGUACUUAUUGGAUUUGAAGGCUUUGAUUCAAUUAUAUCAAUGUAGUAUUUCUUGUUGUAUUAUCCCACAAUGAUGCUAACAACAGGACAAAGUGUUGUGUCUAAUCUGCAUUGAAAACAAGAAAAUAUUAGGGGCGUUUUGGUCUGUUUUUUGAAGAAUGGAAUCUGUCAAUGAAAAUAAGAAAUUCAGGGAAUCGGAAUUGUAAUCUGUCAUGUUUUCGGUUUCGUAUUAUUCUUCAAUUUAGGGUUGCAAAUAGGAGGGAAUGUAGGCUUAAAUUUGGGAUUGUAGUUACUUAGUUUAUCUUUUUUAGAUUCUAAGUUCAGUAAUUAUCUACUCAUUUAUCCAACUUUUUACUUUGUCAUUCCAUUCCAAUCCUGAUAUUUCUCAAACUCAAGAUUGUUUGACAAAGUCCACCAUUCGUUUGUUUGACAUCAAAACUCAAGAAUGCAAACAGAACACCAAAAAGUAAACAUAACCAGGAAACAACAAGAGCAUGAGAUCUCACCAUAUUUACUCUUCUGGCGACACCAAUGGUGAAAAACGAAAUCAAUAAGUAGAGCAACACGCAGAAAGAAUUUUUUUUUUAAAGAAUAGAUGCGCACUACAAAACCACAAAUUCAAAAUCGAAAUAGUUACUUAUUUUGGUGAUCGAUUUUUCACACUAAAUCAAAAUGCAUAGCUAAAAUCGGAGUAGAUCGAUUCAGAAUCUAAGAUUACGCACAGCUUAAUAUCAUAUGAUUAACUACAAAAUAAAUAAAUAAAUCAAGAAGGAAGAAACAGUGUUACCGAAUAAACAAGUGUGAAGAGAUUCGAAUUUUUGCAGGAGAUUUGGAGAGCGGAAAGGCUUGGGGAAAGAGAAAUUGUGGUUGGAGUUUGAUAGAAAUAGGGUUUGGGGGGAAGACAUAAAGGCAAAAAAAAUAUACGUCGGGGUCGUAGUGUGGAUGACACAUUUCCUAAAUCAAAACCAGAAGAAUUUCGUGAAUUGAUUAUAUCGUUUCUAUUAAUUUGGUUUAGAGAAAGGAAUACCUGAAGAAAAAAUUGAGAGCAUCGAGAACGCUUGCUCUCCGACAUCAUCGUCUGUUCCACUGUCGCCAAUUUCUAGAGAUUAGUUAUGUUUUGGAGGUGGCAUUGUUUAUUGGAACCGGAGAAAACGACUAAAAUCAAGUGUUAUUCUCGGAACCCAAGAACCUACAAAGGAAAUCAACAUAUAGUGUGUUUAAAACCUAUAGAAACGCCAAAAAGACGAAGAGCAUACCAACAACAAACACCUGAGGAAAACGAUUAAAGGAGUUCAUGAAAACAAAGGGGAAGAAGAAUAUGAAGAGU